rnacentral:rRNA from 1 species
UACGGAGGGUGCAAGCGUUAUCCGGAUUCACUGGGUUUAAAGGGUGCGUAGGCGGGUAAGUAAGUCAGUGGUGAAAUCUCCGGGCUUAACUCGGAAACUGCCGUUGAUACCAUUUAUCUUGAAUAUCAUGGAGGUGAAGCGGAAUAUGUCAUGUAGCGGUGAAAUGCUUAGAUAUGACAUAGAACACCGAUAGCGAAGGCAGCUUACUACAUGUUAAUUGACGCUGAGGCACGAAAGCGUGGGGAGCAAACGG